rnacentral:misc_RNA from 1 species
GCAGUAAACUCCUCAACGGAAAAAGCAGAUACGAGAGAGGAGAGAGUUUGCAGAACUCGGGCGGUAAAUAGCCACAUUUUUCAGUUCACCGACGUAUCCAACAAACCCAUCUCAUCCUUAUUUGUCUCUUCAUCUCUCUCCCUCCUUCAAGUUCCAUCUCCUUUCCGAUUUCAAGAGAGCUACUUGUGUUGAUGGAACAUCAUGAAUGAGCAUAACCUUCCUUUCAAAGUGGGCCAACUUGCAGAAGCAAGAUCUUUUAUCGUAGGUUUUCGUGGUGCAUGGUUUCGUUGCAAGAUUAAGGAGAUUGGCCAGAGAAAGAGUGGGGUGGUGUGCGCCUUGGAGUACUAUGACUUUUCAGAUGAAAG